UGGGGAAUCUUGGACAAUGGGCGCAAGCCUGAUCCAGCUAUGCCGCGUGAGUGAUGAAGGCCCUAGGGUUGUAAAACUCUUUCGUGGGGGACGAUAAUGACGGUACCCCAAGAAGAAGCUCCGGCUAACUUCGUGCCAGCAGCCGCGGUAAUACGAAGGGGGCUAGCGUUGUUCGGAUUUACUGGGCGUAAAGCGCGUGUAGGCGGGUCGUUAAGUUGGGGGUGAAAUCCCGGAGCUCAACUCCGGAACUGCCUUCAAAACUGGCGACCUGGACUCAAGCAGAGGCAAGUGGAAUUGCGAGUGUAGAGGUGAAAUUCGUAGAUAUUCGCAGGAACACCAGUGGCGAAGGCGACUUGCUGGGCUUGUAGUGACGCUGAGACGCGAAAGCGUGGGGAGCAAACA
rnacentral:rRNA from 1 species